UACGGAGGGUGCAAGCGUUAUCCGGAUUCACUGGGUUUAAAGGGUGCGUAGGUGGGUUGGUAAGUCAGUGGUGAAAUCCCCGAGCUUAACUUGGGAACUGCCAUUGAUACUAUCAGUCUUGAAUACCGUGGAGGUCAGCGGAAUAUGUCAUGUAGCGGUGAAAUGCUUAGAUAUGACAUAGAACACCAAUUGCGAAGGCAGCUUACUACACAGUCAUUGACACUGAGGCACGAAAGCGUGGGGAUCAAACAGG
rnacentral:rRNA from 1 species